rnacentral:rRNA from 1 species
AGGACGAACGCUGGCGGCGUGCUUCACACAUGCAAGUCGAACGAGGCUCAUUCGGUGGCAACAUCGGAGAAGGUCUAGUGGCGAACGGGUGAGUAACACGUGAGGAACCUGCCCCGGAAGACCGGGAUAACAGCGGGAAACCGCUGCUAAUACCGGAUGACCCCAGCUGGUCGCAUGGCCGGCUGAGGAAAUGGGCAUACCGCUUCGGGAGGGUCUCGCGGCCUAUCAGCUUGUUGGUGGGGUAACGGCCUACCAAGGCUACGACGGGUAGCUGGUCUGAGAGGACGACCAGCCACACUGGGACUGAGACACGGCCCAGACUCCUACGGGAGGCAGCAGUGGGGAAUCUUGCGGCAAUGGGCGAAAGCCUGACGCAGCAACGCCGCGUGAGGGAUGAAGGUCUUCGGGUUGUAAACCUCUUUCAAGCAGGGACGAUAGUGACGGUACCUGCAGAAGAAGCUCCGGCCAACUACGUGCCAGCAGCCGCGGU